rnacentral:rRNA from 1 species
GAGUGAAGAGGGACAAGCUCAAAUUUUAAAUCUGUUCGGUUCUACCUGACAGAGUUGUAAUUUAAAGAAACGUUUUCUGUGUUUGAGUUAAUCAAAAUCCUUUGGAAUGAGGUAUCAUGGAGGGUGACAAUCCCGUUCAUGGUUAAUUCUAAGAUGCUUUAUGAUGCGUUUUCGAAGAGUCGAGUUGUUUGGGAUUGCAGCUCAAAAUGGGAGGUAAAUUUCUCCUAAGGCUAAAUAUUGGCGAGAGACCGAUAGCGAACAAGUACCGUGAGGGAAAGAUGAAAAGAACUUUGAAAAGAGAGUUAAACAGUACGUGAAAUUGUUGAAAGGGAAACGAUUGAAGUCAGUCGUACCAGCGGGAAAUCAACCUUUCGAGUGGGGUUUUGGAGUUUUGAAGUGUGUUAAAACCUUUGAGAUUUCAAUGUUUUCGCUCUUUUGGUGUACUUUCUCGCAGGUAGGUUAACAUCGAUUUUGAUCAUCAUAAAAGGAUUGGAGGAAUGUAGCUUCGAUCUUGUAUUGAAGUGUUAUAGCCUUUGGUAAACGUGAUGAUUAGGAUCGAGGAUUGCAACGAAUACCCUUUUGGGCUAUCCGCCUGAUCUCUGAUACGUGGCCUUGGUAUCGAAAGCGUGCUUAUGGUAUUAAGGUAUUACGGUCAAAAGGUUAGAACGGAUUAAAUUCGUUA